rnacentral:rRNA from 1 species
GGUUAACGCUAGCGGUGCGCCUAACACAUGCAAGUCGAGCGGUAUUGGUAUUUUAGAGGUCUUCGGAUUGACGAAAUAUUGAGAGAGCGGCGAACGGGUGAGUAACACGUUGGUACAUGCCCCCAAGUCAGGGAUAGCCAGAAGAAAUUCUGAUUAAUACCGGAUAGUCUCUUUGGAGUAAAAAUUUAUUGCUUGGGGAGUGGCCUGCGUUCUAUCAGCUAGUUGGUGAGGUAAUAGCUCACCAAGGCUAUGACGGAUACUUGGUCUGAGAGGAUGAUCAGGCACAAUGGAACUGAGACACGGUCCAUACUCCUACGGGAGGCAGCAGUGAGGAAUCUUCCACAAUGGACGAAAGUCUGAUGGAGCGACACCGCGUGAAGGAUGAAGGCCUAACGGUUGUAAACUUCUUUUCUGAAGGAGCAUAAUGAGAGUACUUCAGGAAUAAGGGACGGCUAAAUACGUGCCAGCAGCCGCGGUAAUGUCAGUG